rnacentral:rRNA from 13 species
GAGAAGGGCGUUUGGUGAAUGCCUUGGCAGUAAGAGGCGAUGAAAGACGUGAUACUCUGCGAUAAGCCAUGGGGAGCUGAGAAUAAGCUUUGAUCCAUGGAUUUCUGAAUGGGGCAACCCACCUGACAG